UCAGGUUCAGUGCAGCAUAGCUCAGUUGGAUCUGUGAACUCAAACAUGAACUUGAUCAAUUUUAGUUUUUGUUUUGUUUUGUUUUGUUUUGUUUUGUUUUGUUUUUAUGGCUUGGGUGUCUAAGAAUACCUGAAUAUUUAGAAUAUUAAUAUUUUUCUUUCCUACUGAAAAUAAAAGGAUAUUAGAGUUCAUGUAAUGUUAAAUGACAUCUAUCCAGUUCAUGGAAAUUUGUAUCCAAUGAAUAUUAAGAGUCCAUAGCUAAAAAAGAAAAAUAACCUAAAAAUGAAGUCCAUAGCACAUCUUUGAUGACUUAUAUUAAUAAAAAAUGCUAAUAUAUUUCCAGGGAAUUGAAGAGAUGGGAUACUUAUAAAAAGUUUAGCUUUUGUAUAUGCUUGGGGUAGGGAGUGGUUAUAUUAAAGUGUGUGGCCUUGUUGGAGUAGGUGUGUCACUGUGGGUGUCAGGUUAAAUACCCUAGUACUAGCUCCCUGGAAGUCAGUUUUCUCUUAAAGGCCUGCAAGUGAAGAUGUAGAGCUCUCUUGCCUCCUCCUGCACCAUGCCUGCCUGGAUGCUGCCAAGCUCCCACUUUGAUAAUACUGCACUGAGUCUCUGAACCUGUAAGCUAGCCCCAAUUAAAUAUUUAUAAGAGUUGCCUUGGUCAUGGAGUCUGUUCACAGCAGUAAAACCCUAAGACAGAAGUUGUUAUCAAGAGUUGGAUAUUGCUGUGAUAGGCCUGACCAUGCUUUUGUCUGAAAGACCUGGCACAAGAGGGUUUAGUGGAAAAUUUCAGUAUGUGGCAUGAGGCUGUUUUUGUGAUAUUUUGAUGAAGAAUGUGGCUGCUUUCUGCCAUUGUCGGAAGAGUCUACCUGAGGCUAAGGUAAAGAUGUUUAUAUUAAUUGCAUUUAAAAAGGAAAUC
rnacentral:lncRNA from 1 species